rnacentral:rRNA from 1 species
AACGAACGCUGGCGGCAGGCUUAACUCAUGCAAGUCGAACGGUGAAAGAGAGCUUGCUCUCCGGAUCAGUGGCGAACGGGUGAGUAACACGUGAGCAAUCUGCCCUUGACUCUGGGAUAAGCGCUGGAAACGGCGUCUAAUACCGGAUACGAGCUGCGAAGGCAUCUUCAGCAGCUGGAAAGAACUUCGGUCAAGGAUGAGCUCGCGGCCUACCAGCUAGUUGGUGAGGUAACGGCUCACCAAGGCGUCGACGGGUAGCCGGCCUGAGAGGGGGACCGGCCACACUGGGACUGAGACACGGCCCAGACUCCUACGGGAGGCAGCAGAGGGGAAUAUUGCACAAUGGGCGCAAGCCUGAUGCAGCAACGCCGCGUGAGGGACGACGGCCUUCGGGUUGUAAACCUCUUUUAGCAGGGAAGAAGCGAAAGUGACGGUACCUGCAGAAAAAGCACCGGCUAACUACGUGCCAGCCGCCGCCGUAACAC